AAUAGAUACCCGGUAGUCCACGCCGUAAACGAUGAGUGCUAAGUGUUAGAGGGUUUCCGCCCUUUAGUGCUGCAGCUAACGCAUUAAGCACUCCGCCUGGGGAGUACGGCCGCAAGGCUGAAACUCAAAGGAAUUGACGGGGGCCCGCACAAGCGGUGGAGCAUGUGGUUUAAUUCGAAGCAACGCGAAGAACCUUACCAGGUCUUGACAUCCUCUGCCAACCCUAGAGAUAGGGCGUUCCCCUUCGGGGGACAGAGUGACAGGUGGUGCAUGGUUGUCGUCAGCUCGUGUCGUGAGAUGUUGGGUUAAGUCCCGCAACGAGCGCAACCCUUGAUCUUAGUUGCCAGCAUUCAGUUGGGCACUCUAAGGUGACUGCCGGUGACAAACCGGAGGAAGGUGGGGAUGACGUCAAAUCAUCAUGCCCCUUAUGACCUGGGCUACACACGUGCUACAAUGGAUGGUACAAAGAGUUGCGAACCCGCGAGGGUAAGCCAAUCUCAUAAAGCCAUUCUCAGUUCGGA
rnacentral:rRNA from 1 species